GAUGAACGCUGGCGGUAUGCUUAACACAUGCAAGUCGAACGGACUCUUCGGAGUUAGUGGCGGACGGGUGAGUAACGCGUGAGAAUCUGGCUUUGGGUUCGGGACAACCACUGGAAACGGUGGCUAAUACCGGAUGUGCCGAGAGGUAAAAGAGAAAUUGCCUGAAGAUGAGCUCGCGUCUGAUUAGCUAGUUGGUGAGGUAAAGGCUCACCAAGGCAGCGAUCAGUAGCUGGUCUGAGAGGAUGACCAGCCACACUGGGACUGAGACACGGCCCAGACUCCUACGGGAGGCAGCAGUGGGGAAUGUUCCGCAAUGGGCGAAAGCCUGACGGAGCAAUACCGCGUGAGGGAAGAAGGCUCUUGGGUUGUAAACCUCUUUUCUUAGGAAAGAACAAAAUGACGGUACCUAAGGAAUCAGCAUCGGCUAACUCCGUG
rnacentral:rRNA from 1 species